CCCUUUUCUUCUCUUUGCUUUUGUUUUAUUCUUUUCUACCUUAACCAAAUGUGAUACUCGAUCCAACAAAAAAAAAUCUUUUCACUCGAUUGUGUGAGAAGUGGAUUUCUUUUGAAGGCAAAAUUGAACAAACACAAAGAAGAGGCUGAUGAUCUGUCCACCCCGUGUUUGUCUUUCUUUUGACAAGGAGAGAGAGACAAGAGCUUGUUGUGUGUUUUUAGUUGAUGGGUUCAUACUCGUCACGCUCUUUUUUCUUUUG
rnacentral:ribozyme from 13 species